ensembl:rRNA 5S_rRNA 5S ribosomal RNA
ACCUACAGCCAAACUUCUCUGGUUAAGCCUGUUCUCAUCAGAUCACAGAAGCAAAGCGAUGUCAGGCCUGGUCAGUACUUGGAUGGGAGACCACCUUGGUAUUUGAGGUGAAGUAGGUU